rnacentral:rRNA from 1 species
UACGUAGAUCCAAGCGUUGUCCGGAUUUACUGGGUGUAAAGGGUGCGCAGGCGGACUUGUAAGUCAGGGGUGAAAUCUCACAGCUCAACUGUGAAACUGCCUUUGAUACUGCAAGUCUUGGAUCCAGAAGAGAGUUGUGGAAUUCCGAGUGUAGCAGUGAAAUGUGUAGAUAUUUCGGAAGAACACCAGUGGCGAAGGCAGCAACUUGGUCUGGUAUCGACGCUCAGGCACGAAAGCAUGGGGAUCAAACAGGAGUUAGAAUGACCCCUGUAG